rnacentral:sRNA from 1 species
UCCUAGUGUUAGAGCGCAAGGCGUCAUA